rnacentral:rRNA from 1 species
AGUGUAGGCGGUUGCCUAAGUCGGAUGUGAAAGCCCCGGGCUUAACCUGGGAAUUGCAUUCGAUACUGGGUGGCUAGAGUUUGGUAGAGGUAAGUGGAAUUCCGGGUGUAGCGGUGAAAUGCGUAGAUAUAGGAAGGAACACCAGUGGCGAAGGCGGCUACCUGGACCAACACUGACACUGAGGUGCGAAAGCGUGGGGAGCAAACA